rnacentral:tRNA from 1 species
GUCUUUCUAGUACUAACACAGUAUAAGUGGCUUCCAACCAUUAGGCCUUGGUUAAACCCCAAGGAAAGAUA